AGCGACAAGCCGAUAGAUACCAUGCCAGAAGUUCCGGCCAAUGAUCAUAGAGAGGAUUCACCGAAUGAGAAAUCAACAACGCCUUGCUCCCCUUGUCGGACGACGUCUUCUGAUCUGAAAUCAACUAAAGAGGAUUCAAUGAAUGAAAAAUUAACCAAUGCUGUUGUUCCAAGACAAUUUGUGUCCCCCAUUGUCAAAGGCGCUCUACAAAUUUUUGUUGAAAACAUGGCAGAAUUUUAGUAACAGGAUUUGAUUAAUGAGAAAUCAACAUUUGAGUUCCCCGUUAAAGCGGAUCCUGUGAACGAGAAAUCAACUAUCGAUGCUCCAAAACCUCUUGUGAUAGGUGGUCUACAAUUUCUAUGUCUUGGUGCUCUACAUUUGCUCUUUCGGAACAAAGAGAUGAUCAUACCCUUGUUUCAGGAACUCUGCAAAAAGAUCAUACAUCUCUUUGCAGAUUUUCUAAAAGAGUAUUUAAAAAAAACAUUAAAAUCAUGGAGUGAAAAUAUUUUAUCAAGGUUAAUUAAAAAGUACCUAGUGAAGCCAAUCUUGGUGGCUUUAUUUCUUUUUGCUGUGAAGGAAAUGUCUAAGAAGAAUGACUAUGAAACUACAACCAAGUAGUUGGGUUGCGGUCGAGGUCAUGCGGAAA